rnacentral:rRNA from 1 species
AUUCCAGCUCCAAUAGCGUAUAUUAAAGUUGUUGCGGUUAAAAAGCUCGUAGUUGGAUUUCUGCUGAGGACGACUGGUCCGCCCCCUGGGUGAGCAUCUGGUUCGGCCUGGGCAUCUUCUUGGGGAACGUAUCUGCACUUGAUUGUGUGGUGCGGUAUCCAGGACUUUUACUUUGAGGAAAUUAGAGUGUUUCAAGCAGGCCCGCGCCUUGAAUACAUUAGCAUGGAAUAAUAAGAUAGGACCUCGGUUCUAUUUUGUUGGUUUCUAGAGCUGAGGUAAUGAUUAAUAGGGACAGUUGGGGGCACUCAUAUUCCAUUGUCAGAGGUGAAAUUCUUGGAUUAACGGAAGAUGAACUUCUGCGAAAGCAUCUGCCAAGGAUGUUUUCAUUA